rnacentral:rRNA from 1 species
UGAGCAAUCCGCCCUUCUCUUUGGAAUAAGCGUGGGAAACCGCGUCUAAUGCCGAAUACGACCUCCUUUCGCAUGAUCGGAGGUGGAAAGCUCCGGCGGAGAAGGAUGAGCUCGCGGCCUAUCAGCUAGUUGGUGUGGGUAAUGGCCCACCAAGGCGACGACGGGUAGCCGGCCUGAGAGGGUGACCGGCCACACUGGGACUGAGACACGGCCCAGACUCCUACGGGAGCAGCAGG